rnacentral:rRNA from 1 species
GAUUAUGGCUCAGGAUGAACGCUGGCGGCAGGCUAAUACAUGCAAGUUGAACGGUAACGAUGUGUAGCAAUACGAUGAUGACGAGUGGCGCACGGGUGCGUAACACGUGUGUAACCUACCUUAUACAGGAACAUAACGUUGAGAAAUCGGCGCUAACAUUCCAUAAUAUUAUUUGUAGGCAUCUAUGAAUAAUUAAAACUCCGGUGGUAUAAGAUGGGCACGCGUUCCAUUAGCUAGUUGGUAAGGUAACGGCUUACCAAGGCAACGAUGGAUAGGGGUUCUGAGAGGAUAAUCCCCCACACUGGAACUGAGACACGGUCCAGACUCCUACGGGAGGCAGCAGUAAGGAAUAUUGGGCAAUGGAGGCAACUCUGACCCAGCCAUGCCCGCGUGCAGGAAGACGGCCCUAUGGGUUGUAAACUGCUUUUAAUAGGGAUUAAAGUCGACUACGUGUAGUUGUUUGCAAGUACCUAUAGAAUAAGCAUCGGCUAACUCCGUGCCAGCCGCCGC